UGCGAAAAAAAAACUGAUCGUCUUACAUUUGCGCAUUAGAUUCUUGAAAUUUGAAAGAAAGAAGUGGAAAGAGGGUCUCUUACAAUUCCCUAGUUGUACUUGAGCGCUUGUUGAGCCAUGCAUGGACCAGAGAGUAGUGUAGCAGGGAGCAUUUCAAAGUGAUAAGGAUGCUAUAUAUAUUAGUGAAAUGGAAAGCUUUCUCUAUAUAUUCCUCUUCCAUUUGAUUUUCUCGAUCUGCUGAAGUGCAUAUAUGCUUGGGAACCCUUUAUUCAUUGCGUAUGCUUUUCCACCUCCCUUAAUUAUAUUCUUCUUUUUGAUUCCUUCCUACAAAUGUGUUUUCGAUCGAGUUAAAGUCGUAUCAAUAAAAGAUGGUUAUGUUAACUUUCCUGACUACCCAUCACAAUUAAUAUUGAUUUGGGAGAUUAAUUGAAUUUGUUACCGGAUAUAUUUGGUCCAUUAUUCAUUCCGAUUUGGCUAACAAGCCCUUCAUUUUCUCAUAUGGUGACGACUUUGACAAUAGGAAAUUGUGAAACUGCCAAUACUCAAAUUUCUUUCUAUCUAGGGCAUGGCUAGCUUGCGUUGGUCACGAGUUUUGUGGACACGGUUCAACAUAAUGUUUUAGAUCCUCGAGGAAUUUGAGUUUCGUGAAUAUGAAGGAGUGCUGGAGUCCUUGCAAAAGAGUCCGUCUAUUUUUUGCUUUAUUUUUUCAUACAUUUUUUAACAUCUUUAAAUUUUUUUUAAAAAAAAAUUCACUUUCUUAAUCUCUAAAGAAAAAACAAAAAUGGGAACAUACUAUGGAGACCCAACUCUCGGUGGGUUAGCAUUUCUCCUUUCGAAAUGUUUCCAUUAAUUCUACAUCACUUUUCCUGGAUUACGUGUCCGAAGCUAUUGGGAAAGUUACCAAAGAGACUUCCUUUACUAAAAAGUGUUGAGAUAAAUGACUGUGGACAGUUGGUGGUUUCAGUUUCAAGCUUUCCAGAUCAAUGCAAAAUAGUAAUUGAUAGAUCCGAAGGGGUGGUGUGCGGAAGUAAUUUGGUUAUAACCAGAAGGAUUUGAUUCUGUUCGUACAAUCUCUUAACUCACUUGUAGAAUAGAAGGAUUUGAUGUGGAGGGGCUAGCAAAGUUAGAAGAUCUCUGAUUCUCUGAUCCAAAGGUCCUUUGAAUGUUGAAUGGUGGCAUUGGAGAGAUCCCAUCACUACUAUUGCUUGCUGCAACUCUGGUUGGUUGAAGGAGGACAAAAAGUUAUAAACCAGCCAGCAAUGGAUGCCAUAUAUUUGCUGUCUUCACAAUGGCUGGAUCCUGGAUUCUUCUCUAAAUCAACAUACUCGAUCUUCUAAAAUUGCAGCAGCAAGUUGUUAUUAAUGUUGGCAUGCCAAGUCUUUCUUUGUGGUUUUGCUAUUCAUAUCCACAUAAUCAUUGUCAGGCUAUAAGCGACACCUUUUCAUGGUAAUAUUUUGGAGGCCCAAUGCUUAUACUUAAGAGCUGUCAAGAAGCUGCUUAAAACGUUCACUUUUUCUUUUUCCCCUGUUGAUGCAAUUUGUCAUUUAUUUUAUCUAAUUGUAAAUUUGUAAUGAAUCAAAGUAAUCCCAUUUUCAUGUUGAAGUACAAACUUUA